rnacentral:rRNA from 1 species
ACGCUCGACACCUACGUGAGGCAGCAGUGGGGAAUAUUGCACAAUGGGGGAAACCCUGAUGCAGCGACGCCGCGUGAGCGAAGAAGUAUCUCGGUAUGUAAAGCUCUAUCAGCAGGGAAGAAGAUGACGGUACCUGACUAAGAAGCACCGGCUAAAUACGUGCCAGCAGCCGCGGUAAUCUGAGGCGGGCUGGCAAGGC